CAACAUGUUAUGGUUCUUAAUUAUAAUGCUUGACAACUUUGUUUUGAUUAUUAAUUCAAAUGAAGAUCAGUUGUUUGUUUUUUUACCGAAAGUGAUCGGUCAAAAUGACCGGCAAGGUAAGAAUUUGACCGGACAAUUCUGGCCGGACAUUGUCCGUUGACCGGCCGUUAUUUCGCGCCCUGCUAACGUUAUCUUGAACAUUGGAGUCUUACCUUGCUCAUUUUCGCUCAAAAACAAACUUUGGACUGAAUUUCUCACUCCUCGAAACUCUCCCUGGUACUUUUUGAAGUAUAUAUUUGUAUUUUUCUCACAUGGUUUCCGCGCUCACCUUGAAGUCUAGCUUGAUCAAUCAUAGGGUUUGAGUUCCUGUAGAGUUACAUGCAGUAACUGAUAUUAUUGACUCAAUACUGCGUUUGGAUUGAAAAAGAGAAAAAAUGGUGAAACAUUUUUACUGUCUCCCCCCCCCCCCCCCCCCC